rnacentral:misc_RNA from 1 species
GACCACCAGGGUGGAGCCUGCGGCUUAAUUUGACUCAACACGGGGAAACUCACCAGGUUGAUUCUGNGCCUGGAAUAGUGGAGUUAUACUGCUAGUACUAACCUGUACCCACGUGGGGGAAGCUAUAUGAGCCCCCGACUCGAGGCGUUGUGAGUCUACAAGGACUUGGUUAGUGCGACACCAGCUGGUACAGGGAACGCUCUUCACGGAGCCAACUCUGUGGCGAGCCCGAGUAGCGUCGGGCCGUCGCAACGCACGCUAAGCGGUGGGCCGAAAGGCUUAAGGUACGUGCUAAUCCCACGGGCAACCGUGGCUAUCCUGAAUAGUUCCGAGUUUACGAAGCAGGAUGGGGGUGGCGUAAAGCCGCCUGUAUGGUCACACACAAAAAGUGUGACCGAGUGCCAGACAACAACGAGGAUUGACAGAUUGAGAGCUCUUCCUUGAUUGGGCGGGUGGUGUGUACAUGGCCGUCCUAGUGGGGGGGGGUAUUGGGUUUUUUAUGGGAUACGACAACCUCCCCGUUAAAUUGCCCCCCUUUGGGGGGGCCAAAGGUUCUUUAGAGGGAUUUCGGUAACCGUGAGGGGGAAAAAAUUUA